rnacentral:tRNA from 1 species
GCCCUAUUCGUCUAGAGGCCUAGGACGUGGCCCUCUCAAGGCCAAAACACGGUUCGAAUCCCGUAUGGGGCA